AUCCUCCCUCCCUCCACACGAGAACGCCUCCUGAACCAGAAGAACAUCAAUGGCUGGAUCACUGACGAACGAGAGGAGUCCGUCAAUGGCCGCCGCCUCGUGAUCUUCUCGUGGCCAUCCUCCGUCCAGAGGGAAUUCCGGGGAGCGGAUUCCGAUCAGCCGAUUUGCCCCCCGCCCGAUGGCGCGCCCGCCUGAAGAUCCCGAAACCCUAGAACCCGAC
rnacentral:lncRNA from 1 species